CACGGGGGGAGCAAGCGUUGUUCGGAAUCACUGGGCGUAAAGGGUGUCUAGGCGGUCAGGUAAGUGAGAUGUGAAAUGCCCCGGCUUACCCGGGGACCUGCAUCUCAUACUGCCUGGCUUGAGUAUGGGAGAGGAUGAGGGAAUUCCCGGUGUAGCGGUGAAAUGCGCAGAUAUCGGGAGGAACACCGGUGGCGAAGGCGGUUCUCUGGGCCUGACCUGACGCUGAGGAGCGAAAGCGUGGGGAGCGAACAGG
rnacentral:rRNA from 1 species